GACAGAGGUGCCAAGCGUUAGGCGGAAUCACUGGGCUUAAAGCGUGUGUAGGCGGGCCGUUAAGUAUCUUGUGAAAUCCCCCGGCUCAACCGGGGAAUGGCUGGAUAUACUGGCGGUCUUGAGCAGUCUAGGGGCAGAUGGAACAGACGGUGGAGCGGUGAAAUGCGUAGAUAUCGUCUGGAACGCCGAAGGUGAAGACAGUCUGCUGGGGACUUGCUGACGCUGAGACACGAAAGCCAGGGGAGCGAACGGG
rnacentral:rRNA from 1 species